AUAAAUUUCCUGCUUCAGGUGAUGCUCGUUUCUGCCAAGUUAUUUCGAUCUUAUCCCUUUAGCCAAUAUCAAGGUUGCGAAGGAUGCAAAUGAAGUCCACUCAUCCCCGAUUUCCUCUCCUGCGGAUAAUUCGCUAACGGUUAGCCAGUAUGGGAUUUAUUACGUCCAUAAUUCUUUUUACUUUACAUCUCUCUCUCGUAUCGGAUUCAUUAUGCAAAGCCUUUGUGACUAUUGCCGCAGCUACCACGGUUAUUUAAGGUCCCUUUGUUUCCAUUAUCGAUUCAAAUAUAUCGCUUAUGCUACUUUUUCAUGCUCCGAGACAAAAACUUGUUCCGGAAUAAUAAAUUUCGCUCUCCUCUUCUAUCUCGCUUGCUGCUCUCUCUUUCUCUCUCUCUCUCUCUUUCUCGUUUGCUCUUUUUAUUUGAAUUUUGUUAAAUUAAUUUGAAUGCGGCGAGAGGAAUGCGGUGUGGACAUAAUAAUUGGCACACGACCAAUAACGGGGGAAUUAAUAUUUAUUCGUUAAAUAAUACUCACGUUGCGUUUUUCGCCGCAUGACGUGCGCAACCUUGCGGUACAAGUUUAAUUAAUAAUUAAUAAUAUUCUUUCUCGAUAUUAUUAGUAAUUACAUAUUCAGAUAUUGAACGACAGUACUUUCAUCCCAGUUUGCGCGCGUCUCUCUUAUUCAUUAUUUCGUUGAAUCAAUGCAUGCGUUAUACUUUAUUAUUCUAUGGAACAGAUAUUGUCAUAUGCAAUUCAUCGAGUAUGCCGUUUACAAAAUUACUGAUGUAGUAAUCGAGUGGUUAAAAAUUUAACAACUAAUAACACAAGAGAAGGAACGAGUGCUCCUGUUAUAAAAAUAUUUAUCUUUAAUAUUUUUAUAAAUUGAAAGAACAAUGGUAUCAAAUAAAAUAAUAUCCUCAAACCAAGAAUCACAUUGUAUUUUUUCAGACGACUAUUAUAAUAUUAAAAUAAAAAUAUGAUAAAAUUUUGUUGAAAUGUGUAGUAAUAACAUCAAGUUCUUUGAAGAAAAUUAAAUUAUAAAUAAGAAGAUUAUUAUUAUCUCAUACAUAAGCAAGAAUAUAAUUUAUCGCUUACAAACGAAACAAUGACAUUAUCGAAAUAUAAUGUAUAUUAGUUUUAACUCGACACCGAUGUUUUUUCUGUGAUAAUAUUAUAUCGUCCGCGGUGCGCGCGACUUUUCGUCGAGCGGAGCCAUCGCGUCCAGGCGACGUGAGCUCUAAAAGAUGUGAUAAAUGAUUCCUCCCUUCCCUUCGUUUUCCUCCGUAGCCUCCCCCUUUCUUUUAUUGUGUCUACUUUCACGCAACCUGUCUCAUUCAUCCCCCAGUUUCCCCCGACGACGACGCAUUGUCGGAUUAAAUGCCAAGCGCGUUUAAAAGAUAGACGGCCGGCCGGCCGGUCGAUGUGUCUAUGUGUGUGUGUGUGUGUGUGUGUGCGUGUGUGUGUGUGUGUUUACGCGUGAGCGCGGGUAUGCGUGCGCGCGGGCGUGUGUGUGUUACGCGCCGGAAAGAAGAGGAACACCCACGUCGAUCCGAUAUCGACGUCUCGGACGGAGAUCGAGGGAAAAAAUGCGCCGCGCUCCGGAGCGUUUCCUCGCCUACGAUCGCUCGGUGGAGAAUCGUCAUCUUCGGCGAGGAACCCGGCCAUGCUCGAUAUGAUUCCCUCCCGUAAUUCGGCCGUUUCACCAAACACUCCCCUCGUCCCUCUCACUCUCUUUCUCUCUCUCUCUCUCUCUCGCGCGCGUCGUACGUCGCGCAUCGUCUCGUGCCCGGCUCGUCCCGUCUCCCCCCCUCCUCCCUGCCGAUCCCCCUUGUCCCACUCCGUUCCGCCGCAUACUUCAAGCAGGUAACGUGCCAACGCAAUGGCGCCUCACUGGCUGCACCUGGGAUAACCGUUCGCCAGGUUAGGCCUCGGCGGGGAUUGGCCGGUCGGCGUAAAGCCGAGCGCGGAUUGGCCGGCGGCUCGGCUCCGCCGGCACGUAGGUUUAAUCUCGUUUACCGUAGGCGCGCUGGCGUUCAGUUUAAGUUACCUCGGCCGGUCGGUCGGUUGGUCGGUCGGUCGGUCGCUCGGUCUCGCGGUCGCCUGUCCGUCCGCUCGCAAGUCGCAACUUGAAACCGGACCUCGUCGGCUCUGUGCGUAACGUCGUCGUGGCUCCCCAAAUUGUCGUCCCCGUCACCGUCGCCGCCGUCGCAGUUCAGUGCAGGGGAAAGAAAGGAGGAUCGGGCGCCGAUCGAUCAGCGCCGCGCGAAUCUCUCGGCUUGCUCGGAUCGUCGAUCGAGUGACCGCGGGGUGCGGAAGUGCGCGCCGAGAAUCCCAAGUACGACGGAGUCGUGGAAAUUGACGGGAAUUUCCGUUGGCGAAUCGCGUGCCUGUGGUGGUGCUGGUGCUGCUGCUGCUGGCUGCUGCUGUUUGCCGUUGGUGGUGGUGGUGGUGCUGGUAGUAGUAGUGUGUGUACGGUGCGAGAGGUUAGGAUCGUGCCGCUGCUAGGCGGAGAAAGAGCGCGGCCUUCCCUAACCGGGGAAAGGAGAGCGGAAAGGAUCGGCGUUGCGGUGCGCGCGACCGAGGAAAA
rnacentral:lncRNA from 1 species